AUGAAUGGGGGAGGGUCAGAGAGAGGGAGACACAGAAUCUGAAACAGGCUCCAGGCUCUGAGCUCUCAGCACAGAGCCCGAUGCGGGGCUCGAACUCAUGGACCGCGAGAUGGUGACCUGAGCCGAAGUCGGCCGCUCAACCGACUGAGCCACCCAGGCGCCCCUCCUCAUAAAUUUUGUAUCCCACACUAACACUCCACUAUCCCUAAAGGGGUCAUGAGAACAGUAAGCCAAUCUAGGUAGUGAUGAGUGGUCAAUUGAUUUGGACAAUGGUCCCCUUUGGACAAUGAUUUCAGUUACAUCCAGGUCAGUGUCCUGGGCCAAGGCUGGCACACUGACCUGGCUCUGGAUCCUGUCUGCCCCUCUAACUCCUCUCAGCCUUUCAUUCCUUUCCCCCCACUGUAGCCUUCCAAUCCCAGCAUCAAGGCUCUGUCCACCUCUGCUGGAGAAACCCUGUCCUUUCAUUUCAAGGCUCCAGGCUGCUCCUGGAGCCAGCAUAGGGCUGUUUCUGGAAGCAAUGUCCACUUCUCCCCAUUUUUCCUCACUACAAACCAAAGAUAAUAGAGACUUUGGGAUCACUUCAUGUCACUUUGGAAUCAGGUUGCUGAAACCUGAAGACCUGAGACUUAUGAAAGCCCUGGGCAGUCUGCUCCUCCAGAACCUUCAGCUGAGUUGGGGGGGUGGGGGGCAGGAUGAGGUGGGCCAUCCUCAUUGGAGAAGGUCACCCUCUCAUUCCCCUUCCCUGGCUCAUUCCAGCUCCUCCCUUUUUCCUUUAUUUACCAGAUAAUGGAAAAAUCAGAGAUCAGACCUAGAUCAGCUGUCUUGCUGGCUAAACACUUUGGUUAUAAUUCUGGCAAGAGGCUCCAAGAGACACCCCUAACUGCCCCUUCCUCAAUCCUCACACCAUUCACACUGAGAGCUUCCUCUGCUCCCCAGACAGAGACUUCAGAGCCAGACCCAGGCCUUCCCUCUGGCAAUUAGAGGAAAAGCUGUUCCAAGACUUCUACCUACAACUUGUGAGUGACUCUGGCCACUCAGCCAUGAUCUCACGGCCUGAUUCAGCCACCUUCCCCACCUGAAUUUUUGUUACUGACAGAAAUGGGGACCCAUGGGGGUAACAAUGAAACUCUGCUGUGUCUUCAACUUCCUCCCCAGUUGGACUAAAUUAUCCAGGUCAGGCUGGCAGUGUUCCAGUCUUAGAGAGGAAGCAUUCUGGCAACUCAGGACCUCUUCUGAAUGAUACUAUCCUAUUACAAGUCCAAGGUAGUCCUUUCUCCUUCCAUGAUUUUGCUCCCUGAAUUCUACCCUGAUCUUCUCGUCCUUCUCCUUCUUAAUUUACCACCUCCGGAGGCUUCCUUAGUCCUUAGUCAAUAAAUGGGCAAGCAUGUGCAUGUUUGAAGGUAAUGAGGAGGAGAUGGCGAUGAUAAGAGUAACCACCAGGGGGAGCCUGUGCCUAAGAAGACACUUGACUAGAGGCAUAAGGGGGCCACUCAGGACUUUUCUUCCCUUUUUUCCAGAGCAGUAAAGCUGCCA